UACACUUUAAACCACAUAAUAGUAAAGUGAAAAAGUGUGAAACUACUGGAGUGGUAUUUGAAGUUUAUCUUUUUUUUUAUCAAGAUAAAUUAUAUAAGAGAUCUAAUUCUCUAAUCUUUUACUCAAAUUUUGAAUUAAGUACCUAACAUUUUGGACCCUCCUCCGUUGACUCGGAAUUUUGAAUAAAAAAAAAACCCAUAAGUCCUCGAGUUCAAUCUUUAACUUUUUGAUGUCUUGAUUUUUUCUCCUGUGGUCAUUGCAUUACUGAGUCAUAUUUAACUAAUAAUAUAUGUAAUGGUGUCACAAUAUGUCAUAGUGAAAAUGUUUGAAAGGCCAGCAUAGUGAUGCCAAUGCAGACCGUAGCAAAUGUAGGAUGAGAAAAGUAAAAUUAAUUAGGUGAUAUGACUCUGCAUUCUAUACACUACUUUUCCUCUCCAUAGUAGGCUCCUUUUACUUUUUUGUGACUAUAUUCUAUUUCUCAGAUUUUUUUUUUUUUCAAUUGCUACAUCUAAUUUAUUGGUAGAGAAAGGCUAAUUUAUAUCAUUUUCGUACAAUAUGUUAUUGUUAGUACAAAAAUAUCAACUUUUCCAGAAGUUUUUGAAGGGCCCAUGGGCUGCACAAGCUAAUUCAAUAGUAAACAUCAAGGACUAUUGUAAACAAUAAUAAUAAUAAUAAAUUAGCACAUGUCAAAAUAAGCCCGCAUUUCUCAAAACAAAUAUUAGACAGAUCAUUCGGCCCGUAGGCCAAUACAAUGGUUGUUUUGUAGGCUAUGUACUCAGGCCGAGUAAGUUUUUUUUUUCCCCCUCCUUUUUUGUACGACUAAUUAUCUAGAUAUGAAUUUAACCUAAACCAUCAGCUUGACAGGGCAAAAGACGUUUUUGUCCAGAGAGCUGUGAGCCUAUUAAAUAUGGAUACAUAUAUUGCAAGUUCAAAAUCGAUUCAAAUAUAAUAUUAUAUUUUAAAUGGAGCUGCAACAUGACUGUGAAGAUUCUUCUGCUUUUCCAAUAUUAGGCCUCACUGACUUUGAUUGAUCUUAAGUUUUCGAUUGAACGCCUAUGUGUUUUUAAAGUAGUAAAUUAAUUAUGCAAGUCUAAGUCCGAUUCGAAUAUGAGCUUCUAUUUUAUGUAAAGGGUUUGAAGGCUACUCUCGUUUUUUUUUUUUUUUUUUGAGAACACAAUUCAUUUAUUAGAAAAAUAAAUAUAGCAAUAUGUGAGGAGUAAAAAGGUCUUGCCACAAAGGGACCAAAAAAGAGUAAAAAUGUAAUAAAACAACUAUAUUUUGCAUUAAAAUUUAUGAAUUGAAUAAUAUUUUUCUGCACUCGCUGUGUUACGUUAAUUUUGCCUGAAAAGUCAGAGAAAAUUUUUAUGAGAAUUGGCACUACCAUCCCUUAUAUAUCUGAAUUGGUUCUCAAAGAUAGAAAAUUCGAAAUGAAAAAAAUCAAGAUUUAGGAAUUUGAAGUAUCUUGAAACCAAUUUUUUUUAAUAUACAAAUUUAGUUAACCAAAUCUCAAAAAAAUGGUGGACAUGAAUUUUCAAUUAAAAAAAUCACUAGUGUAAUCCACACGAAAAGUUUACUACAUGAUACAAUAAACUCCUCGAUGACAAGUUCUAUGGAUUUUCCGUUGGAUACGAACUGGUCUAGGCCUAAAGGCCUAAAUCAGGAAACAUAAAAUUAAAACGCUUCAUCAACAAGAUAAAGAGUAGAAAAAUGGUGCCCAAUUUGAACUGAGAUUUUGGGUGGCUUGAAUUUUGCGUGACUGUGAGGACUUGAAAAAGUAGGCCCAUAAAAGUGUGAUCGGGCUUGGAUCCCUUUUAAUCGAACACUCGUAGGCCUGGGCGAGUUGUAAGAGCGGAAAUGAUGGGCGAGCAAAUCAAAGCCGCAAGGCCUCUCCCCCGAUAUGGGCCGACUCCUCCCCAGCUAACUUUCUCUCGAUCAGCCAGACAGCCACCCCCUCUAGAGAUGGAGAUAGAUUAGCCGCCGAUGGUCGACGGCGAUAACGGCGGCCCAUCCGGCUGCGGCGGCAACGGCGGUCCCGACUACGGCGAGGAUGGCGCGAGUUGAGGAACCAAGUUGCGGCACCAGUUCGUGAGGGUACCCGUAGAGCACUUCAGGAAGACGAUGAGGGCAAACCAGCGGUGCGCCAAGGAGGAGGUUUCAGCCGUCCGCGCCGGGGUGUAGGUGGCCUCAGUCGACGACUCCCUGUCCAGGGAGGACACCUCCCUUGUCUCCCGUCUCCUGGUGCUCGCCGUCGACGCUUAUAGCCACAAGAUCAAGCACCUUCUCGAGCCCCAGCCAGAGCACGGCCGGAUCCAGUUCCAUUGACUCAACAUCAAGAAUGGCUCCCAGCCCGAGGGCCCCAUCAAGAUAUCGGAUCUCAUCACCUCCUCGACUCACCACCGGAACACGGCUGGAUCCAGUCCCACCGACUCAACAUCAAGAACGACUCUUGACUCGAGGGCCUCAUUAAGAUGUUGGAUCUAGUGAGCUCCUCGCCUUCCUCCCCCCCCCGCAGACGCGCCCAAAAAAACACCAAACAUCCGCUUCUCCCUCUUUCUCUGGAUGCCUUCUUCUUAUUUGCUUCUUUACCUACGAUCAACCUGGUGGCCAUCUGUCCCCUGCCGAGUACAGUAUCCACCCACCAUAUACAGCAAUUUCUUGGAUGCCCUUCCGGUGGUUAAGUAUUGGUCUGAAAACAGCAAGCGGCUCAUUCACUUCUCCACUCAUGAGGUGUUGGGAAGACUAUUGGAAGCUUUCUCCCAGAGGAUCACCCUCUGCGACAGGUUAUAUUGCCCCCUUUUUUUUUCUUUGUUCGUUGUUGUAUCUCACACUUUCGCUCUUAUCGGUAGAAACCAAAGAAAAUAUGAAAAAACAGGAAGAAAAUGUCAAGAAGUCAAGUUGAUUAGUGUUCAUACCCCCUUUCCUCGUGAAAACUAAAAAAAGAAAAUUGAAACAUGCAAGAGUAGUUGCAGAUCUAUAAUGGUGUUGUAGAAUAUUUGUGUGAUUUCCGCAAUAAUGGUAGUUUUGUUGUUUGAAUAUGUAUUUAAGCUGGUCCUUGAUCUAGUACUAGCUGGUUAAGUAGUUUAAAGUGGGUCAUUAGUUUAAAGUGGGUCACAACUUUCUCUUGGAUAGAGAUAAUGUCACUUUUGCUAUCUUUAUUUGUUUUUUCUUUUGGUUGAUUAA